GAUGAACGCUGGCGGCGUGCCUAAUACAUGCAAGUCGAGCGAACGGACGAGAAGCUUGCUUCUCUGAUGUUAGCGGCGGACGGGUGAGUAACACGUGGAUAACCUACCUAUAAGACUGGGAUAACUUCGGGAAACCGGAGCUAAUACCGGAUGAUAUUUUGAACCGCAUGGUUCAAAAGUGAAAGACGGUCUUGCUGUCACUUAUAGAUGGAUCCGCGCUGCAUUAGCUAGUUGGUAAGGUAACGGCUUACCAAGGCAAUGAUGCAUAGCCGACCUGAGAGGGUGAUCGGCCACACGGGAACUGAGACACGGUCCAGACUCCGACGGGAGGCAGCAGUAGGGAAUGUUCAGCAAUGAGCGGAAGCCUGACAGAGCAACGCCGCGUGAGUGAUGAAGGUCUUCGGAUCGUAAAGCUCUGUUAUUAGGGAAGAACAAAUGUGUAAGUAACUGUGCACAUCUUGACGUUACCUAAGCAGGAAGCCACGGCUAACUACGUG
rnacentral:rRNA from 1 species